GUCCAUGCACCACAUUCCUGGAAGUCCAGAAUAUAGCAAGAAUCCUUUGUCGUUUGAUUCUAUGGAGCCAUUUAAUGUUUUGAUUGGUAUAGUUAUACCAAAAGAGCAAGGAGUACAUCGGUAGAUCACAUCUGCAACAGAACCAUUGCAGAUUCCUUGUUGUAUCAAUGUCUCUGUGUUUAUGUUUACAGGAGGUCCUUGCUUUGCAGGUAUGUACAUAAUAUGUAGAGUUUAAGAAAAGCUGCAAAUCGUGCUUUAGUACAAGUGUCCCGUGAUGUCAGG